rnacentral:rRNA from 1 species
UGCCAGCCGCCGCGGUAAUACGGAGGGUGCAAGCGUUAUCCGGAUUUACUGGGUUUAAAGGGUGCGUAGGCGGGUUUCUAAGUCAGUGGUGAAAGCCCGGAGCUCAACUCCGGAAUUGCCAUUGAUACUGGAUACCUUGAGUACAGUUGAGGUGGGCGGAAUGCAGCAUGUAGCGGUGAAAUGCUUAGAUAUGCUGCAGAACACCGAUUGCGAAGGCAGCUCGCUAAACUGUAACUGACGCUGAGGCACGAAAGCGUGGGAGCGAACAGGAUUAGAUA